AAAAAUAAGUCUGAUGUGAAAGCCCUCGGCUUAACCGAGGAACUGCAUCGGAAACUGUUUUUCUUGAGUGCAGAAGAGGAGAGUGGAACUCCAUGUGUAGCGGUGGAAUGCGUAGAUAUAUGGAAGAACACCAGUGGCGAAGGCGGCUCUCUGGUCUGCAACUGACGCUGAGGCUCGAAAGCAUGGGUAGCGAACAGGAUUAGAUACCCUGGUAGUCCAUGCCGUAAACGAUGAGUGCUAAGUGUUGGGAGGUUUCCGCCUCUCAGUGCUGCAGCUAACGCAUUAAGCACUCCGCCUGGGGAGUACGACCGCAAGGUUGAAACUCAAAGGAAUUGACGGGGGCCCGCACAAGCGGUGGAGCAUGUGGUUUAAUUCGAAGCAACGCGAAGAACCUNNCCAGGUCUUGACAUCUAGUGCAAUCUGUAGAGAUACGGAGUCCC
rnacentral:rRNA from 1 species